rnacentral:lncRNA from 1 species
AAACAGUGAGGUCAAGAUAAGAGAGGAAAGAACUCAUUGUUUACAUGAUCAGGAAAUGGAAUGCCUAAGCUGUCCAGUUUCAGGGCUUCUCUUUCUUGGCAGGGAAGCAUGAGAUGCCAUAGCUCUCUGCUCUCUUCAACCCUCUGCCAAAGGAGAGUUGCCCUGUAACAGGACUCAGCUUAUGGUUCACGAUUGUAAAGACAGAUUCAAGCUUACACUGCAGCUUAGUGUUGUACCGGCCUAUGGUGGUGCAAGAGUUUGGGGCAGCAGUCUCCAGUCCGAAUGCAUCGCCAUAAACAUCAUCAGAUGUAGUUCAGAUAUUCCAGUCCCGGCAGAGCAAGCAGCGCUCCCAACAGGUUUUGGCACGCAGGCCCCAAGUUAACAAAGGGUUUAGGCACACAGACGGCAGACCCCAAGUAUAGCCAUAUCAGACUGCUACACCAUGGUCAUGGUUCAUACUAAAAAAAAGGAAACCCAGAGAAAGCACCUCUGAGAACUGUAAUACUGCCGGCACAGACGCUAAGGUUGUCCACUGUUUCGUCAGAUUAGCAUGAAUAUAACCACAGGAUCUUACUAACUUAACAAACAUGAACACACUAAGGGCUCAUUUUUGGUAGGAAUCGUUCUUGGUAAGAACUUGCUACAUAAAUUACCCAAGCAUUCCUGGUAGGAAUGGUUCCAGGACAUGGUUUGCUAGAAACCCGAACGAUGCCUGAUUGAGUGAUUAAUUAACUCAUAGUGACUGACCUGCUGGUUGGUGCCUCUGUCAGUGGUGUAGAUGACCAGCGAUUACCUUCUGACGCGCGCCAGGAUCAGUGGUCGUCGGUAUGGGUAUCCGACGGCGGCUGAUGGCCUUCAGCUUGAGGACGUGACCGAGAUCCCUAGUUAUUGGCCAUGUUUGGCACAGCUGCUACUUGUUGAAAAAGCAGCUUAUCUGAUAAGCUGGUGAAAAGCAGCUUCUGCUUGUUGGCUGCUUUUAGUGUAUUCUGAGAAACAGCUGAACUGAUAAGCUGUUGCAGAAGCUAGCUGUUUGGCAGAACUUCUGCUUAAAUUUGUGAAGAAGCUGAAAAUAAGCUGUGCCAAACAGGGCCAUUGGGUCAGCUACACGCUACUUAUUAUUGAGUUUUUUUUGUUUUGCUAUUAUAAACCUCAUUACAUGCACCUUCGAUGUAAUAGCAUUCAUAAUUUAGGCUUCAAUAUAACAGCAGGCUCUACCACGUCAUACCGUCGAAAUACCGUCCAAAUAGAAUUAUGGGCUUUUUCGGCCACGUGUCAGAAAAGGGCUCGGACAGUGCGACGCAGUAGAGGCUGAUAUAUCGAAGUCCAAAUUAUGAAUGCUAUUACAUCAAAGACGCUUAUAAUGAGGUUUAUAGUAGCUAUAAACUCCUUAUUAUCUGUUGAAGAAACUCCAUCUGACGGGUGCGAGUGCUAGAAUUGUAUGAGAAAAGAAACGGAUCGUGUCAGAUGGAAACGGAUGGCCCGAGCAAAGUGGCCAAGUUGGCGAUGCGCGGUGUAGAGAUAGCGAGUUUAUAUAUAUAAAAGGAAAUCUCCAUUAAUUUCGUGCCAUGACCGUGCGUCUCAUGAUAAAUACAUAGAUCUAUUUUUUGCCCCCGUUUUUCAUCUAUAGAUAGGAUAUAAGAAACCACUAAAAAUCAAUACGAUAAGAACCAUACCACGCA